CACGCCGUAAACGAUGAAUACUAGGUGUAGGAGGUAUCGACUCCUUCUGUGCCGCAGCUAACGCAAUAAGUAUUCCGCCUGGGAAGUACGAUCGCAAGAUUAAAACUCAAAGGAAUUGACGGGGGCCCGCACAAGCAGCGGAGCAUGUGGUUUAAUUCGAAGCAACGCGAAGAACCUUACCAGGUCUUGACAUCCCGAUGACCGCUCUAGAGAUAGAGUUUUCCCUUCGGGGACAUUGGUGACAGGUGG
rnacentral:rRNA from 1 species